AGCAAAUUGUUUGUCCGUUAUACACGAUAUUCCGUUAUAACUGGAUUUUACUGUGUUUGGAAAUAAAGAGUGUAUAACGGCUAACGAAAGUGAGGGGGCGCGGUCAUGGCGACGCAGUGACACGGUAAUGGGUCGCUCCCUGAGCCAUUUUUAGCCCCCGAUGCUAAUGCAGUUUACUUUCUCCAGCGUGAUCGAUAAGAGGAAGAUAAAGCGCCUCCCAGCGCCUCUUGCUCAGCGGACGACACGUUUCGCCACAUUUGCCUGCCUUUCCCUCAUCUUUUUCCCUGUUACGAGAAAAAUCCAUUUGCUAAAAGCCCUCUUUUUCCCGCUACCUGUCACAAGCCGAGAGCGACUUCACAAAGAAUCAUUAUAUUUUUUCUUUCCCUCGCCAUCAUGACACCAUUAGGAGACUUCGGCACAAAUUGAGACUGAGGACGGAGUGGGCUGUGAAGGAAGAGGGCAGCCAUCGGUGAAUUCCACCUUCAGUCAGGUGGCAUCGGGGAGUGACAUGAGCGGGACGGCGCGCAGACAGACACACGCUGG